ACACUUGUCAUCCCACAUUUUGAAGUCAAUCCCGUUUGGCAAGAUUCAAGCUCAUUCAUGGAUAUAUUUGAUGUCGAUCACUUUAUUGAUGUGUUGAAGAAUGACAUUCUUAUAGUUAAAGAGUUGCCUGAUGAGUUUUCCUGGAGCACACGGGAAUAUUAUGCCACUGCUAUUCGAGACACCAGAAUUAAGAUGGCACCUGUUCAUGCUUCAGCUAACUGGUAUUUGGAUAACGUCUUGCCUGUGCUGCAGAGUUACGGGAUUGCUGCAAUCUCCCCAUUCUCUCACCGUCUGACUUUUGAUAACUUGCCCAUGGAUAUCCAACGUUUACGUUGCAAAGUCAAUUUUCAAGCAUUAGUUUUUGUUCCCCACAUCAUAGCACUUGGAGAUGCUCUUGUCAGUCGUCUUAGGUAUCCUUCGAGAGGAACUGAAGUCCUUAGCUCUGAUUACCUGCGGGAAACCACUGAUGUGAUUGAUAAAAACAAAGAAAGCAAGUUUGUUGUGAUACACCUUCGUUUUGAUAAGGAUAUGGCUGCCCAUUCAGCCUGUGAUUUUGGUGGGGGCAAAGCUGAAAAAUUGGCUCUGGCCAAGUACCGACAAGUCAUUUGGCAGGGAAGAGUCCUUAACUCGCAGUUCACUGACGAAGAAUUGAGGAGUCAGGGUCGUUGCCCAUUGACUCCAGAAGAGAUUGGAUUACUUCUAGCAGCUUUGGGCUUUGACAACAGUACUCGUCUAUACCUUGCUUCACACAAGGUGUAUGGUGGGAAAGCUAGGAUAUCAACUUUACGAAAAUUGUUUCCGCUAAUGGAAGACAAAAAGAGUCUUGCUUCUUCAGAUGAACGUGCACAGAUAAAAAAGAAGGCUUCUCUGUUGGCUGCAGUUGAUUACUAUGUUGGCUUGCACAGUGACAUCUUCAUCUCUGCUUCUCCAGGAAAUAUGCACAAUGCAUUGUUGGGACAUCGAACUUACAAGAACAUGAAAACCAUGAGGCCCAACAUGCCAUUGUUGGGGCAACUGUUCCUGAACAAAAGCAUUAGUUGGUCAGACUUCCAGCAGGCAGUUCUUGAAGGGCAUGAAAACAGACAAGGCCAGAUCAGACUAAGAAAGCCAAAACAAUCCAUAUAUACGUAUCCUGCCCCUGAUUGUAUGUGCCAGGCUUAAGGUGAUGUAUCUGAAGGAUGUUGAGUUACCAUCUCUAUUCUAUUGAUUUGGCAGCACAACUAUUGUACGUGGCUGGUAUUAUAAAUAAACAAGAAAUUCCAUUUCUCCUUUGAUGGAAGAGCACAGAUAGCCAUUUAGCUAGAGAACGUGAGAGUGAAUUAGAUAAUGAUAGUGUAUUUUGUCAGCUUCUGGGUUAUGGACCACGUUUGUGGACCAGAAAAAUAUUUACUUGUUAAGUAUCAUUUAAUAGGUCACAGCUGUAUCUGUACUUCUGUUUGUGAUACUUUUGGCUUUAUGUGAAACGUUGCUAGGUAAUGACUCGCUAAUGUUACAAGUCAUCAAGUGACCAAUUUACCAAUAAAAUUAGUCAAAUCUUAGAAAAUGGUACAUUUCUAUAUGCUGUAUCGACAAUGUGAGGUUGAAGAGUAUAAUUACACUGCUCUAAUCAUGGACAAUAUACCCUGAACUUGUACAAUGUAUGAAAGAGCUUUAAAGAGAAGGUUCCAGGAAGAAGUUAGCAGUUCAGAGGGCAAAGUUUAGCAUAUAUGCAAAGAUUAGUUUAGAUGAUUUUCACUGGUCGCCGGAUGUAGAACUAGGAGGGAUUGGACUUUGACCAUCUUUCCCAUCCUCACCAGUUGGAGCUGCAGUUCCAUUUCUGCUUGCGGCAGCCAUUUUCUUUGCCUCUUCUGGAGAUGAAUGGGAAGCCAUGCCUUCCUCAAUGGGAAGAGUUCUCCUUGAGCCCUCCAAAGCAACACCAAGAACUAUAUUUUCCUCCAGUGCAGGUCUUGACACUGAUGGCUGAGUGACUGAUUGUCUCUCAGCACCCUGUUUCAAUUUGGAAGACUGCUGCAAUCCACUUGCUUUGUCAGCACCAGCUGCUGUUAAGGAAACCGAAGGAUUAUCAAACCGGCUAUUCUGUCCUGUAUUCCCAGGACUCACACUCUUAGGCUGCUUGCUGUCGUAGAUCUCUUUGUUUUGCGGCACAUUAUUGGAAACAAAGCCUGCUGCUUUCAAUUCAGAACUUGAUGCUUCUGCAAAGUUUGAUGUCUUGGGGACAGAAUUAGGUGAUGAUUUCACUGGCAUUUUAUCACCAACCCUGGGAUCAGAGGUGGAAGCUGUUGCAGCUUGUGUGCGUUCCUUGGCAUCGGAAUUUGGUGUUUCACCAAUUCUGGCAUCCACCAUAGGGUCAGAUUUUGGUGUUUCUUUGGCUUUGGGAUCUAAAUUUGGGUUACCUCCUGUUUUGGUGUCAGAUGAAGACCUUGGUGUAGCCCUAUUUUCUUGGUCUCCAACUCCGCGCCCAGAACGAGUUUGAGAUUUCGCUUUAUCUUCCCCAUUGAUUCUGUAAGAAGGUUCAAUUAAUAGCAAAGGACGGUUGGAUGCCAUUCCACCUCGGUUAUAGGUAGAAUCUGCAAAUGGAAUAUUUUCCAAAUCGGCAUCACUAUAUAUCUUCUGAACAGUUCGAAUUGGCGUGGCAAGUCUAGCACGGUGAUGGCUGAUGACUCUUAGAAGGUCCAACAUUAUAGCUUCCUUAACACACAGGUAUUCUUCAUAAUGCGAGGUCUUCACAAAACACGAUACCAAAAUCAGGAGAGCCUGAUUUUCAGGAUUGAUAUUAUCCAAAAAUACUCUUCUAUGCAACCUCUGCUGCUCAACUUGAGGAUUCUUAGCCAAGACUUUGCGCAUAUCAGCGACAAUAUUAUUGAUCUUAUGAACAUCCAAGUGACUAAUGGCCAGGUGGGUUUUAAUACGCCAAUGAGAUUUUUGACUGAGAUUUCUCACAACAUUCACAGUGAACUUGUGAUUUGGAAUAUGAACUGCUUCACGAUCUUCACCUCUUACAAUUGUUGGCGACCACCAACCCACAUGCUCAACAGUACCAGAAACUUCAUAGCCUUCGAUCUUUGUUUGAAUCCAUUCAUUCACAACGAAGGGUCGAGUUGCAUGAAUCAUUGCACUUGAGAGGAAAUUUGUGAAUAUCUAAAACAAUGAUCAAUAGCAGUGUUAUAUUGCAAGAAAAUUAACAUAAGAUCCAGAAAAAGAAAAUUGUGAAAAUUCUAUUACAAUGAAAACUCAGUAGUGCCUCACAGCCAGCAAGGAUCAGCAAAACUGUCCCAAGACCCCCAGCAGUGAGCCAGUUCUGGUUAGAGAAACCCAGCAACUCCAUGAAAAGUGAAACAGCAGCUACCCACACUGCAGAGUAUACAGCUUUCCCUGCAAAUUGGAAUCCCAUAUUUCUUGGAUCACUGGGCUCAUUAGACUCCAUGAAGAACUUCUGAGCUUGUUGAAUCACACUUGAUAAACAAUAGGCAAAAGCCAGCACGGUCGAUAAUGAUCUUACAAAAUACAAAAGCCUUUGCUUAACAACUUGGCUAGCUUCUGUAGGCAGAAUAACAGGAUCCAGCGCUCUGCAUAUCAGUGUUGCACCAGUCCACAGCAACAAAGGUUGAACAUAAGAGGUCAUAACAUAAUAUGUGCCACUCUUUUUCCAACUGUUAUCAUUCUUAUUUAGUAGCAAAUUUCUGCUUUGGCGCAUGAGUGGCGCAAGUCCCCAUACAGCAAAUAUGAUAACACCAAUUGCAGGAGCCAACUUCAAUAUGACUGGACUGCUUUUUAAAGCUUUAUAUGACCUUGACAAUGCCAUGGAAGUGGCCUUCAUACCAGGAAGUUGAAAUGCUUGGCCUGGAACUAGAAAAGAAUGACACCUAAAGGCAUUACUUCUAUACGACACAGGGCAUAUGGGUCUGCAUGAAUUGUCCGAUAAACGAAUACUCCAUGAAUCCCAUUGCUGAAACGAUGCACGUGAUGAGAGUGUGCUAUUCAAUAAUGGUAGCUUGUCCCCACUUGGAAUACUCUUAUAUUUUUCCUUGUGCCUCUGGCUCUUGCAAAGUCCCAAAUAGUGGGACAUUUGCAAGGAACCAGCAACAGCCAUUGCCAAACUGAAACUGAAAUGCUAGAAGGUGCCAGCAGUCACGAAAGAUCAGAACACUAAUCAGUAACACUUAAAAAUUUGCCAAUGUGAUAUCGACAACCAAACAGAUUUAAUCAACCUCACAAUUCCGACACCUGUGCUAUAGACAACUAGCUUUGACAACGAAGCGGAGAAUCACAGGUUUGAAAACAACUUUCCUGUUCCUGGUUCUAGAUUUUUUGGCUUAAUACGGUGCGUUCUGGUCGUAAAAUCUCUUGCCGGCUCUCAUUUAGCCACGUGGUUUGCCACGUCAGAAAUUUCGCCGCUGCAUUUUUUUCCUUAAUCAUUUCCAAUCAUGCGGCGGCUGUUAAAACGCAGGAUUCUGCAUCGUUUCUCUUUCUCCAGCUGUCAGAGACCAACUGGAGAAAGAGAGAGAGGGAGAGAUGGAAGACGAGGAGGAGAAGGUGAAGAAAGCGGCGUUGCAGAUAAUCGGGCAAUUCCAGGACCUGCCUCGCUUGGUUGUCUUCGAUCUCGAUUACACUCUAUGGCCUUUUUACUGUGAGUGCUAUUAUGAAGAUGAUACCCCGUAUCUGUAUCCACACGCUGUAGGCAUAUUAGAAGCGCUGAAGGAAAAGGGAAUUGAGAUGGCUAUUGCUUCUAGAUCGCCUACUUCGCAGAUUGCCAAAUCAUUUCUGACUCAAUUGGGAAUCAACUCCAUGUUUGUGGCCCAGGAAAUUUUCUCCAGCUGGACUAACAAAACUGAGCAUUUUCAGAGGAUCCAUAGGAGGACUGGAUUGCCUUUUAGUUCAAUGCUUUUCUUUGAUGAUGAGGAUCGGAACAUUGAAGCUACAUCAAAAUUUGGUGUAACUAGCACCUUGGUUGGUAAUGGGGUAAAUCUUGGAGCGUUGAGGCAAGGACUAUCAGAAUUUUCCCACAAGUCUGAUUCUUCUAGCAGGAGCAUGAAGAAUUGAACUUUCUGUUAGUUAUAUAAAUAUCAUCUCAUAGUUUUCAAAUCAGGCUAAUUUGUGAAGGAGAUGGUGUUGCUGUGAUGUUUAGAAAUUUACAAGCAAAUUUUAUGUUGCAAGUGUACAACAUUAUUCAUUGAUGAUCAAAUUUUCUUACAAUGUUUAAGGGAAUGUUUGUUUGAGCAUAGAGGUGACAGACAAGUAUGCUUUUGGGUUCAUCUCAUUUGAGUUUGGCUGAUUUUAGGUUAUCUCAGGUCUGGUCUGUUUGCGGGUGGAUUCAAGUCAAAUUAUUUAAGCAUCACCAGCUUUAGCCAAUGAAUUUCGAUUUGAG
rnacentral:misc_RNA from 1 species